GGAGGGCCCGACCGACCCCUGACCCCCGAUCGCAGGCGCGCUUCGCAAAUCGAAUCGGAUCGAGCGGGAGACGCAGCAGCAGCAGGAGCAGCAGCAGUAGCGAGAAGAAGCAUCCGAGAUUGGAAACAUUUGUCAACGAAAGGGCGCGCGAGCUUUCUGGGCACAAUCAGAAGAGGGUGCAUGGUGAUUGACGGGGGACACAAGUGGCGGGGCCUGGCAGCGCUGAGCACCCGCAGCGGCGUGUGACCGCAGAGGAGGAGGUGGUGCCGUCUCCCCCCUCGCCUGGAGCCCCGGCGAGGCGCAACCCCCGGGGUACGAGGGGCGGCGGCAGCGCGUCCGACGCCGCCCGUGCGCCGAGUGCGGCAAGGCACUCUGGCGCCGCAAUGACCAGCGCAGGCCAGGGCGCGCGCACACGGGCGAGCGGACCCACGCGUGCGCGCAGUGCGGCAAGACGUUCGCGCAGUCGUCGGCGCUCAACCAGCACCGGCGCUCGACGCGGGCGGCCGAGCGGCCCCGUGGGCGCGACCGGCGGUUCGGGAAGUGCGCGGCUCCGGAGCGACGCCGCGGGUGACGGGCCGCUCCGCUGCCGUCGCCGCAUCGCGGUCCUCGUGCGCGUUCAGAAAGGCGGCCCUUCGUGCGCGAGGACCGCGGCCGGGUGCUCGCAUGUGGCCUGGAGCUGAGCGCGCACCGGCGGGCCCACGUGUGCGUAUCUUCCGUGCGGGAAGAGCUUUGGUCGAGCGUGGGACCUGGCGCAGCAUCGACGGCCGCAUGUGACCGUUGGGCCCCCCCGCACCCGUGUGGCCUCGGCUUCCUCGCCACAGCCCAUCCAGCGACAACGUGAGGCCUGCGGCAUCGUGGCAGAUGCAGGGUUCACGCCGGCUGGCCGAGCCGCGUCUUCUGGGGCAUCCACCAGAAGACGGUACUCUGGUUGGCUGGCGGUGCACCGGUGUACGCACAUGGGCGAGAAGAGGCACAGGUGCGAGGAGUGCGGUAAGGCUUUCUCCCGGGCCUACAAGCUCAUCUCACUUGGGCGAGAAGCCCAACACCUGCUCCUCCUGCGGCCUGGCCUUCCGCGUCAAGCACCACCUCACGCGCCACCAGCGCAAGCACGUGGCCAGCUGCUGACGGGGGGGCCACGUGCGAUGGUCCACGGCCCUGCUGAAGACGCCGCCGUACGCAGAGCGACGCUACCGCCCGCCUUCGCAGGCACAUUACGAGAUCGCAAAGGCUCGUUAAACUCGACACUUGAGGACUCCGUUGGUGGAGAUGGUGCUACAGGGUCUGGAGAUGCUCUUUGUUGGCAGAGAUUGUGUGCUGCGGGAGCUGUUCACAUUAAGGUACUGGAGGCGAUGGUCUGGUGGUGUUGCAUAGUCUAGCCGACCGUUUGCACAUGUCAUGCAUCUGCACUGGUUGUGCACAGCCUGCCCUUGCAAAAUAUAUUUCACGGAGCUCUUAUGUGGUUUAAAUAAAGCAUAUCCGUUUUGUGGUCGUUAGAA